CCUACGGGAUGCACCAGUGGGGAAUAUUGCACAAUGGGCGCAAGCCUGAUGCAGCCAUGCCGCGUGUAUGAAGAAGGCCUUCGGGUUGUAAAGUACUUUCAGCGGGGAGGAAGGUGUUGUGGUUAAUACCGCAGCAAUUGACGUUACCCGCAGAAGAAGCACCGGCUAACUCCGUGCCAGCAGCCGCGGUAAUACGGAGGGUGCAAGCGUUAAUCGGAAUUACUGGGCGUAAAGCGCACGCAGGCGGUCUGUCAAGUCGGAUGUGAAAUCCCCGGGCUCAACCUGGGAACUGCAUUCGAAACUGGCAGGCUAGAGUCUUGUAGAGGGGGGUAGAAUUCCAGGUGUAGCGGUGAAAUGCGUAGAGAUCUGGAGGAAUACCGGUGGCGAAGGCGGCCCCCUGGACAAAGACUGACGCUCAGGUGCGAAAGCGUGGGGAGCAAACAGGAUUAGAUACCCCAGUAGUC
rnacentral:rRNA from 1 species